rnacentral:rRNA from 1 species
UACAGAGGUCCCAAGCGUUGUUCGGAUUCAUUGGGCGUAAAGGGUGUGUAGGUGGCGCCGUAAGUCGGGUGUGAAAUCUCGGGGCUUAACUCCGAAACUGCAUUCGAUACUGCGGUGCUUGAGGACUGGAGAGGAGACUGGAAUUCAUGGUGUAGCAGUGAAAUGCGUAGAUAUCGGGAGGAACACCAGUGGCGAAGGCGACUUCCUGGCCUGUUCUUGACGCUGAGGCGCGAAAGCUAGGGGAGCAAACGGG